rnacentral:rRNA from 1 species
CCCAGUGACAUUGUUCAACGGCCGCGGUAUCCUAACCGUGCGAAGGUAGCGUAAUCACUUGUUCUUUAAAUGAGGACUAGAAUGAAUGGCUUCACGAAGGCUAUACUGUCUCCUUUUUCUAAUCAAUGAAACUAAUCUUCUCGUGAAGAAGCGAGAAUCUAACUAUAAGACGAGAAGACCCUAUGGAGCUUUAAAUAUAAAGAUAUCUGCCCCUCCUUUUUGCAACUUCUUAGAAUUAAACAUACCCAGGCACUUUAUCUCAAAUUUUAGGUUGGGGUGACCACGGAGCACAAAUUACCCUCCAUGCUGAAAGAAUUCAUCUUCUUAGUUAAAAGCUACAACUUUACACACCAAUAAAUUGACUCUAAUUGACCCAAUAACUUGAUCAACGGACCAAGUUACCCUAGGGAUAACAGCGCAAUCUAUUUCAAGAGCUCAUAUCGACAAAUAGGUUUACGACCUCGAUGUUGGAUCAGGGUAUCCCAGAGGUGCAGCCGCUUCUAAUGUUCGUUUGUU